rnacentral:rRNA from 1 species
UACGUAGGGUGCGAGCGUUGUCCGGAAUUAUUGGGCGUAAAGAGCUCGUAGGCGGUUUGUCGCGUCUGCUGUGAAAUCCCGAGGCUCAACCUCGGGCCUGCAGUGGGUACGGGCAGACUGGAGUGCGGUAGGGGAGAAUGGAAUUCCUGGUGUAGCGGUGGAAUGCGCAGAUAUCAGGAGGAACACCGAUGGCGAAGGCAGUUCUCUGGGCCGUAACUGACGCUGAGGAGCGAAAGCGUGGGGAGCGAACAGG